GACGAACGCUGGCGGCGUGCCUAAUACAUGCAAGUAGGACGCAGUUUCGAACGGGUGAGUAACGCGUAUGUAUCUGUCUAUUAGAGGGGGAUAACUAUUGUAAACGAUAGCUAAUACCCCAUACUAGUAGAUGGACCUGCGUUGUAUUAGGUAGUAGGUAGGGUAAUGGCCUACCUAGGCGACUAUACAUAGCCGACCUGAGAUGGUUGUCGGCCCAACUGGGACUGGAACAAGGGCCAGACUCCUACGGGAGGCAGCAGGAGGGAAUCUUCGGGAAUGGGGGGAAACCUGACCGGGCAACGCCGCGUGAGUGAAGGAGGUUUUCGGGUCGUAAAGCUCUGUUGUUGAGGAAGCGGUACUUAACCAGAAAGGGACGGCUAACUACGUGCCAGCAGCCGCGGUAAUAC
rnacentral:rRNA from 1 species